AUUGAACGCUGGCGGCAGGCCUAACACAUGCAAGUCGAGCGGAGCGGCGGACGGGUGAGUAAUGCCUAGGAAUCUGCCUGGUAGUGGGGGAUAACGUCAGGAAACGGGCGCUAAUGCCGCAUACUAUCAGAUGAGCCUAGGUCGGAUUAGCCAGUUGGUGGGGGAAAGGCCUACCAAGGCGAAGAUCCGUAACUGGUCUGAGAGGAUGAUCAGUCACACUGGAACGGAGACACGGUCCAGACUCCUACGGGAGGCAGCAGUGGGGAAUAUUGGACAAUGGGCGAAAGCCUGAUCCAGCCAUGCCGCGUGUGUGAAGAAGGUCUUCGGAUUGUAAAGCACUUUAAGUUGGGAGGCGUUACCAACAGAAUAAGCACCGGCUAACUUCGUGCCAGCAGCCGCGGUAAUUC
rnacentral:rRNA from 1 species